rnacentral:rRNA from 1 species
UAUGCGAUUAACUGGUGUGAAUUGCAGAAUCCCGUGAACCAUCGAGUCUUUGAACGCAAGUUGCGCCCGAAGCCACUAGGCUGAGGGCACGUCUGCCUGGGUGUCA